rnacentral:misc_RNA from 1 species
GUGAGUCAUCGAAUCUUUGAACGCAUAUUGCGCCUGAGGCCUCGGCCGAGGGCAUGUCUGCCUCAGCGUCGGCUUAACCCCAUCACCCACAUUACUUGUGAGUGGACUUGGCAGUCCCAGUCCGGGUCUGCCGAAAUGCAGCAGAUGUUAUCAGGACCCGCCUUUGGCGUGGCCAUUCAGUUUGGUAGGUAACCCCUGGUUGCAUGCCACUGUUGGCCAUUGUGGCUUGUUAGCAUACUGGCAGGAAACCAAGGGCCCCGAGCCCUUUCUCAUUUCGACCUGAGGUCAGGCAAGAUUACC